AUUGAACGCUGGCGGCAUGCCUUACACAUGCAAGUCGAACGGUAACAGGUCUUCGGAUGCUGACAAGUGGCGAACGGGUGAGUAAUACAUCGGAACGUGCCCGAGAGUGGGGGAUAACGAGGCGAAAGCUUUGCUAAUACCGCAUACGAUCUCAGGAUGAAAGCAGGGGACCGCAAGGCCUUGCGCUCACGGAGCGGCCGAUGGCAGAUUAGGUAGUUGGUGGGAUAAAAGCUUACAAAGCCGACGAUCUGUAGCUGGUCUGAGAGGACGACCAGCCACACUGGAACUGGGACACGGCCCAGACUCCUACGGGAGGCAGCAGUGGGGAAUUUUGGACAAUGGGCGCAAGCCUGAUCCAGCAAUGCCGCGUGCAGGAAGAAGGCCUUCGGGUUGUAAACUGCUUUUGUACGGAACGAAAAGGCUCUGGUUAAUACCUGGGGCUCAUGACGGUACCGUAAGAAUAAGCACCGGCUAACUACGUGCCAGCCGCCGCGGUAAAAC
rnacentral:rRNA from 1 species